rnacentral:rRNA from 1 species
UACGGAGGGGGCUAGCGUUGUUCGGAAUUACUGGGCGUAAAGCGCGCGUAGGCGGCUUUGUAAGUUAGAGGUGAAAGCCCGGAGCUUAACUCCGGAACUGCCUUUAAGACUGCAUCGCUAGAAUUGUGGAGAGGUGAGUGGAAUUCCGAGUGUAGAGGUGAAAUUCGUAGAUAUUCGGAAGAACACCAGUGGCGAGGGCGACUCACUGGACACAUAUUGACGCUGAGGUGCGAAAGCGUGGGGAGCAAACAGG